UACGGGGGGCUGCAGUGGGGAAUAUUGCGCAAUGGGGGAAACCCUGACGCAGCGACGCCGCGUGUAGGAAGAAGGCCUUCGGGUCGUAAACUACUGUCAGGAGGGAAGAAACUGUUUGGGUAUAAUACGCCCAUUCACUGACGGUACCUCCAGAGGAAGCACCGGCUAACUCCGUGCCAGCAGCCGCGGUAAUACGGAGGGUGCGAGCGUUAAUCGGAAUCACUGGGCGUAAAGCGUGCGUAGGCUGCGCUGCAAGUCAGACGUGAAAGCCCUCGGCUCAACCGAGGAAUUGCGUUUGAAACUGCAGUGCUAGAGUCUCGGAGAGGUUGGCGGAAUUCCAGGUGUAGGAGUGAAAUCCGUAGAUAUCUGGAGGAACACCGGUGGCGAAGGCGGCCAACUGGACGAGUACUGACGCUGAGGUACGAAAGCGUGGGGAGCAAACAGGAUUAGAUACCCCGGUAGUC
rnacentral:rRNA from 1 species